ACACUUGGUUGAUAGAUCAACAGCAAUAGCCCGGAAGAUGGGCUUUCCUGAAAUCAUACUGCCAGGAGAUGUUCGGAAUGACAUUUAUGUCACCCUGAUCCAUGGCGAGUUUGACAAAGGGAAGAAGAAGACGCCAAAGAAUGUGGAGGUGACGAUGUCUGUGCAUGAUGAGGAGGGCAAGCUCUUGGAGGUGCGCAGCGUGGCCCAGAAAUCCUGCUACCAUCACAUCCGUCUUUACAAUCACGAUAGAAUUUUGGCCGUAUUUUAAUUCUUCUUCGCAUCAGGAUUGGUUUGAUUUUUCCUGAGAAAAGAAAUAUAAAGCCUGUUAAAUUUGUGAUUAGCAGUGAGCAGUUUCACUAAGGAAGCUAUCUAGACUCUUCUAGACUCUUAUUUUUAUAUUUCUCCUGUGCUAAGAAAUAGCUCCAGCCA
rnacentral:sRNA from 1 species